ACAUAGGGCUGAGACAAAUGUGUGUGUGCUAAAUUGCUUCAGUCAUGUCUGGCUCUUUGCAACCCUAUGGACUGUAGCCCACCAGGCUCCUCUGUCCAGGGGAUUCUCCAGGCAAGAAUACUAGAGUGGGUUGUCAUGCCCUCUUGCAGGGGAUCUUCCUGACCCAGGGACUGAGCCCUUGUCUCUUAUGUCUUCUACAUUGACAAGUGGGUUCUUUACCACUAGCACCACCUGGGAAGCCCCUAGAAACCAAUACUGCCAGUCUUUUCUGCUCCAGCUUGGAAGCUGCUCUAAGCUGAGUCGGGCUGGGCUGGCUGGUUUGGAUGGUGCCAGCAUCAUGGCUUCUGAACUGCUGUUUUAGGGAGAUUUGUGAUGGUAAUUUGACGUGUCAGUCUCUUAGCUUUCUCUCUUUCCAGCUGGAUGAAAGCAAGACCUUGUGUUCUUUAUUAGAGCCAGAGGGUAGGACUGGACAAACUUCAAGACCCAGACCAGAUCCAUAGUGACCACGAUGGUUUCUCCUGAAGCAGCCCUGAAACCGAAGUCUCCUGGUGGCCAGAUGAUCAGCCUUCAAAACUGUGCAACGGUGAUUGGGCAUGAAUCCUGUAAGUGCCAAUAAUGUGUGAAGCCCUGCUGGGUGGUCUCUGUCCUGACCCAGGACCUGUGAUUGACGUGAAGGGGUGGAAGCCAAAGAGCUGCGGACAAAUGGUUUGCCUUGGCCCCGCUUGCUCAGAGAGCAUGGAACACAUCUGGAGGGGGUCCUGCUGCUCUCCGUCUGCAGUCUUACCCUAAGGAUCUCAUGGAUGAAGGAAUCUGGAAGAAAACAUUUCUAAGGAGGAGAGGAGGAACCAGUGCCUUCUAGACCGAGAGGAGCAAAGAGGGUGAUUUUCUCCACUGGAGGAGUUCACUAAUUCAUCAGGAACCAGGAGCUGCCCAGUAGUCAGUCCUCUGCACUUUACAAAAUGCUUUUCUUGAGUUGUCUGUUCACACGUGUGCUUCUGCAAUGAGGAACUAUACACAAAGCUGUGGGCAAACAGAUGGAGGGGCUGAGUCAGUCUGGAGGGAUCAGCGAAGACUUCACAGAGGAGGUGACAUAUUGCUGUGUCUUAAAGCCUAAGAAGAAAGGAAGACAUGAUCCAGGCAGAGGGAACAGCAUGUACAGACGCAAGGAGGCAUUGCUAAUCAACCACAGCAUCAUCCUCAUGCUACAAUCGAAGAAACAGAAAGGGAUGGAAAUGUGGGCCCAGGACCCACCAAGUUAGGAAGCAAUGGAGCCAGGCCUGGUGUCCGCAACCAGACAGAUGCGACGAGCUUGAGGUUCAGACAAACACGGGGCCCGAUAAUGGAAUUGAAGAAAUCUGAAUGAAUCGUCUGAUGUGUCAUGACUAAGCCUGCAAUGUGCCAAGUGUCCCCCAGGAGAGGCCCUUGGAUAGCAGACUGGAGCACCACAAUUACGCGUUGGAGACCAUUUCCAGAGAGAGCCACCGACGUCAGUGGCUCUGAGUUCUAGAAGCUCUUGGAGGGUUUGAGGAAUUGUCCCGUGGAUUUGUGGCACCAGGCUCUCAGCGUGAGACUGAGGGGUGGUGGUGCAGCUCGCUAGUCCAGCUCUGGUGGUGGAUGGAUCUCCCAGUGCAUGCAGCCUGCUUCACUUCUGGGCAGUUUUAAUUACUCUCUAGUUCUUUUACUGAUCCCAUCUUGACCUCCCAGAUCUGUGUCUUGCUCUUUGUUUAAGCUUCUGGAGCCUUGUAGGCUCAUUCUCAUUUCAUUUCCACUGACACUCAAGUGUGUUCAGGGAGCCCUUAAGCAUUUCUUGUUCUGCCUCCACUCCCCUUCUGCCUCCUUACCACAUCUAUUCUUCUCCAGGGAGAAUAUUCUCAAUUUUAUUGACUGUUCUUCUGGUGGUUUUAUGGGUAGGUGCCUUUACCAUCUGGAUCAAUGGAUAUGAGAUUUAUUAAUAUUUAUAUCUUACUUGACAUGGACUCCUUAGAAAUCUGGUACUCAUAUAGAUGAUGGUAGCCAAAAGCUUUUAAUGGGCUUGAGC
ensembl:lncRNA